rnacentral:rRNA from 1 species
GAUGAACGCUAGCGGCAGGCCUAACACAUGCAAGUCGAGGGAGAAGCCCUUUCGGGGGCAGAAACCGGCGCACGGGUGCGUAACGCGUAUGCAACCUACCUUUCACAGGGGGAUAGCUCGAAGAAAUUUGGAUUAAUACCCCAUAAUAUUAUUGGAUGGCAUCAUUUGAUAAUUAAAACUGCGGUGGUGAAAGAUGGGCAUGCGUCCUAUUAGCUAGUUGGAGUGGUAACGGCACCCCAAGGCUACGAUAGGUAGGGGUCCUGAGAGGGAGAUCCCCCACACUGGUACUGAGACAGGGACCAGACUCCUACGGGAGGCAGCAGUGAGGAAUAUUGGUCAAUGGUCGGAAGACUGAACCAGCCAUGCCGCGUGCAGGAAGAAUGCCUUAUGGGUUGUAAACUGCUUUUAUAUGGGAAGAAUAAGGCGUACGUGUACGUUGAUGACGGUACCAUAUGAAUAAGCAUCGGCUAACUCCGUG